AGAGUUUGAUCCUGGCUCAGAUUGAACGCUGGCGGCAUGCCUUACACAUGCAAGUCGAACGGCAGCACGGAGCUUGCUCUGGUGGCGAGUGGCGAACGGGUGAGUAAUAUAUCGGAACGUACCCUAGAGUGGGGGAUAACGUAGCGAAAGUUACGCUAAUACCGCAUACGAUCUAAGGAUGAAAGUGGGGGAUCGCAAGACCUCAUGCUCGUGGAGCGGCCGAUAUCUGAUUAGCUAGUUGGUAGGGUAAAAACCUACCAAGGCAUCGAUCAGUAGCUGGUCUGAGAGGACGACCAGCCACACUGGAACUGAGACACGGUCCAGACUCCUACGGGAGGCAGCAGUGGGGAAUUUUGGACAAUGGGCGAAAGCCUGAUCCAGCAAUGCCGCGUGAGUGAAGAAGGCCUUCGGGUUGUAAAGCUCUUUUGUCAGGGAAGAAACGGCGAAAGCUAAUAUCUUUUGCUAAUGACGGUACCUGAAGAAUAAGCACCGGCUAACUACGUGCCAGCAGCCGCGGUAAUACGUAGGGUGCAAGCGUUAAUCGGAAUUACUGGGCGUAAAGCGUGCGCAGGCGGUUUUGUAAGUCUGAUGUGAAAUCCCCGGGCUCAACCUGUGAAUUGCAUUGGAGACUGCAAGGCUAGAAUCUGGCAG
rnacentral:rRNA from 1 species